CAAUAGCGUAUAUUAAAGUUGUUGCAGUUAAAAAGCUCGUAGUUGGAUUUCUGGAUGGAGCGACCGGUCGGGCAUUAAUUUGUCUGCACUGGAGUCGGUUCCGUCCAUCCUCUUGGAAAGUGCGUCGGGCAUUAAGCUGUUUGGCGUAUGAUCCAAGUCGUUUACUGUGAAAAAAUUAGAGUGUUUAAAGCAGGCCUUCGCCUUGAAUACAUUAGCAUGGAAUAAUAAGAUAGGACUUUGGUCUAUUUUGUUGGUUUGCAGACCGAAGUAAUGAUUAAUAGGGAUAGUUGGGGGUAUUUAUAUUCCGAUGUCAGAGGUGAAAUUCUUAGAUUUUCGGAAGAUAAACUUAUGCGAAAGCAUUUACCAAGGAUGUUUUCAUUAA
rnacentral:rRNA from 1 species